rnacentral:misc_RNA from 1 species
GUGAAUCAUCAAAUCUUUGAACGCAAAUUGCACUCUCUUCGGAGAGUAUGCCUGUUUGAGGGUCAGUAUUAAUAAUAAAUCGGUUUGGUUGCAGAUUGUGACGGUUCCGGAGUUGGGGCUUGUCUUAACUUUUUUUUUUAAGGGGCUGAGAAUUGACCUUGUUUGCUCAUGUGUAUACUUACAUAAAUUUUUGUUUAUUCUUCUUUUCUUAAUGCCAAAAUCUUAUUAUAUUCGGUCACAUCGUGUGGCUUCGUGUCCGU